GCGUUGUCCUCUUCGUAUAUGACUGAAAAAGAAAGAGUGAGAACGAGAGCGCGUAAAGGAGAAUGACUCAGGUUACGAUCUUAUCCGAGUUCUCCCGAACGAACAACGAACGUUUAAAGACAGCUGUUCUACCAUUAUCGAAUCGUUUUCUUCUGACAGGAAAUAAAUUUGUAUUAAAGUGUUUCAUUUUUCAUCAUUAUAUAUUGUUAAUUUUUACAUUUUGUCAACAAGUUUUGAUGACGAACGAUGCAGUUCAUUACAUUUAGGUCUCUUCUUAUAAUCUUAUCAUUAUUAAUAACUAGUGAACAAACUGAAGAGGUUAACAUGACCUAAUUAAUUUGUGAUACCACGACCGGCCUUGAAUUUAAGCUUCUGACGAACCAACAGCAUUUAUUAUGGCACUGGGACCAUUUAAACGGCUAUAGCUACCUAUGAAAAGGAUUUUUCGGCUUACGUACCAUUUUUCACUUAUGGAUUCAACUAUCUUCUCUAUCUAAAUAUGGUCAUUUUUUAAAUGACACGUUGUCGAAGGUGUUGUGCAGCAUAAUGCCUUUAAGUGGACUCUUAUGCAUUUUCCAAGGACGUUGUUACCAAAUGAAAUUUGUUGUAUAAACAACAUUCUUUGGUGGCUUGAUCACUUACAUCAUAGUUAAAUAUUUCGCAUCUUACGAAAUUACAACAAACUUUAGAAUAAGUAUAGACAGAAGUUUAGUUUUCCUCUUUAUCUUGGAGAUUAUUUUCUUCUUUUUCAAAACAAAAUAUAACAAAGUUAAUUUCAUUACUUUUUCUUGGACUUCUCUGCAACUCGAUCAUCUAUUUCAGUAUAAAAGGUAAAAUAAUGAUUGAUAAAGAUAAGGAUAAAUGGUCACCUAGCUUCUAUAACUAAAAUAGAUAUAGCUAACGGGUAAAUUUCAUUCAAGUGUGAAGGCAAGCAUAGGCGUCUAUCAGCAUUUAUACGAAGCGUAAUAAAGCUUCGUUAAAAUGAGCUCCUCACACAAAAUUUAUCUUAACACGAUUUUUACAAAAAGAAAACUACAUAGAUUCUAAUUCUUUAAACUUAUAUAACGUCAUAAACUAAAUUUUUUUUGUUACUAUAUAUAUAAAAUAAUAGAAUAUUCGUUGAUCUUAUUCUGAAAUCUGUAUCCGUUUACAACAGUUUUUCAAUAAACUAAAUAUUUUAUUCAAAAUUUAAAAAGAAAAACAAUCGAACAGAAAAGAUGUAGUAACACAUCGAAGAAAAUAUUUUGACUUGACAAAAAAUAGUAUUGAUGAGAGUGGCAACGAGCGUAAAAGUUUGCUACACGCUCUCUUCCCAUUUGAUCGUUUUUAAUACUAAAGUAAAAGAGAGUAAAAGAGAAAGAGAAAAUAAGGGUGGAUGGAGGGUGUAUGAGGUGGAGUGAGGGUUGGCCAGCAGGCCGAAGUUAGUCCGAGUUUGGCGAAGGGAUGAAAUGUAGAGACUUCGUGUCUCUCCCUUUUUCGGGGGUAGCUUCUAUCAAUGUUGUCCGUUCAUGUGGAAACUUUCGGCUGUUGAAUCCCCCUCAGUGCAGGGAGUAGAAGCAGAGCGACAUCCGCGUUGCCUCCCACCUUUCUCACUUUAACACGAGCACGAGGACGAACACAUCCCCUCCCCAUCCCCAUCCUUCCAUUCCGUGCACGCGCGCGUGUACUUUUCUGCGCGCACAAUGAGCCUUCGUCCACUCUCUCAUUCUCUUUUUCUCUUUUCUUUUAUCUCUGUCAUAUUGCCUUCCAAUUCCAAAUCCCACAGAAUGAUCUAACCAGCUUGGAAGAUUUGCAUUUACCUAAUUGUGUUCCCUCUUUAUUUGCUUAGUACCAAGACCUAUUUAGAUUACCCGCUUUUAGUAGGCACAACCCUCCGUCGAGUCCCGUCUUGAUUCUUUCUUGAAAUCAUAGAAAAUGGUCUAUUGUUUUUUAUUUUCUUUUUAUAUUAUUUCUAUUAUUUUCAUAAAGUGGAUGCAAAGUUUCAUUAGUUCGCGAAUCAAUAGAAUCAUUUCAAUCUAUAUAUUAUUAUUUCUAAACGAAUGAGAUAAACUUAAACCAUACAUUAUCAUCCACAUGUUCCCCUUUUUCAGAAUUUCUGUACUUUUUGGUAAAUGAUCAGUUGUUUUGGAUGAAAUAUUGGACCAUCAUAUUCUCAUUCGUAAGGAUGGAGGAUUUAUAUUUUUUAAUUUUCUUUAAGCUUCUUAAUAACGCGAAUUAUAUUUAAUAUUCUAUCACUUACCUUUCAACUUGAUAUUGAAAGCUUAAUACUUCAAUAUUGAACGAUCGUUGUACAAAAUACACCAUUGUAUUUCGCUUUAUAUAUUCAUACCAAAAAAGAUUUUGUAUAAAUGUAUAUAUUUAAGUUGAUAACGAAGUACUUACUUAGAUGUACAUUCUUUUAACUUAACAAUCUUCUCUUUCUUGUUCCUAGUGUAUUAGUAAACAUGUGUGGGUUUGAUCUCUAUAUAUUUGUUUAGUGGUAUUAUGUGGGUAAAGAAUGUGACUCUGUUAAGAUUAAAAUGAAAUAACAUUUAUUGGAAUUGAGACAGCGACAGCUAACAAUAUGGUUCUAAUUUCCUACUACUUACAAUCUUAAAGGUAAUCACAGCAACAAUAUUAUCUCAUUAUUCACAACACUUACAUUGGAUUACGGUCGUAUUAAUAUAUAUGCAUAUACGUACGUAAUAUUUUAUAUACAUUUUUUUAUUAUUUCUCGUUAAUAAAUUUGUUUAUACUUAUACACUGUAUUCAUUACUAGUAUCGUUGUUACAGAUAAGAGAAGUGUUACGUGACCACUUCUACGUCAUGUUGUUUUUUUUUUUUUAAAUUACUUGCUGAUAACCGGAAAGGAAAGAGAUAAUAAUGUUAAUCAAUCGGUUAUUUAAAAAAAAGAAAUUGGAAAUAAUCAAGUUACCUGAUGAAAUAUUAGAUAAUUUAACUCUUUUCUGUAUUAGAGCGAUUAAACAAAUUUAUUUAUUAUAAUCUGUGCAGAGAACGAGUAAAAGAAAACGAUUCAAGGUUCUUAUCGAAUACGAUAAAGACGCAGAAGUGGUAACUUACAGAGCGAAAUCAUAACGUACGUAGAUGUUUCGAAACGAUCGGUUAAAAUUGAUAAGGGACCUUUGCUUGUAAAUCUUCGAACAAGAUGAGUGAACAAUGAAAAUUGUCUGAUGUAUUAUAAAAAGCAACGAAGGAUAAAUUCUAUUUGCGAAUCUAUGAUCUGUGCUCGUUUCUGUCCCUGCUUUUUUCCUUUUUAAAUUUCAUUUUAAUUUUGUUUUUUUUUGUUUCUGUUCCAAAAAUAUAAAUUUACUAGAUAAUUUACAAUAUAGUUUCACGGUUUUUAUUCCACAUUAACGUAUCGUAACGUCGCGUGAAAAAGUGCUUAUUGACGAUCGAAAGAGAAAAAAAA
rnacentral:lncRNA from 1 species